rnacentral:rRNA from 1 species
CCUACGUGCGGCAGCAGUGGGGAAUAUUGGGCAAUGGGCGCAAGCCUGACCCAGCCACGCCGCGUGAGUGAUGAAGGCCUUCGGGUCGUAAAGCUCUGUGGGGAGGGACGAAAAACUUGCCGGCUAAUCACGGCGAGCCUGACGGUACCUCCUUAGCAAGCACCGGCUAACUCCGUGCCAGCAGCCGCGGUAAUACGGAGGGUGCAAACGUUGCUCGGAAUCAUUGGGCGCAAAGCGAUCGUAGGCGGGUGAAAGCCCUCGGCUCAACCGAGGAAGUGCAUUCGAAACUGCAUGGCUUGAGUAGCGGAGAGGAUAGCGGAAUUCCCGGUGUAGAGGUGAAAUUCGUAGAUAUCGGGAGGAACACCAGUGGCGAAGGCGGCUAUCUGGACGCAUACUGACGCUGAAGUUCGAAAGCGUGGGGAGCAAACAGGAUUAGAUACCCCGGUAGUC